UUGCUCUGGCAGCACAUAUACUAAAAUUGGAAUGAUACAGAGAUUAGCAUAUUCCCUAUGCAAGGAUGAUAUGCAAAAAUUAUAAUGUGUUCCAUAUUAAA
rnacentral:snRNA from 1 species